rnacentral:rRNA from 1 species
UACAGAGGUCCCGAGCGUUGUUCGGAUUCACUGGGCGUAAAGGGUGCGUAGGUGGCAUGGAAAGUUUGAUGUGAAAGCUCAGGGCUUAACCCUGAAAAUGGCAUUGAAUACUCCCGGGCUGGAGCACUGUAGAGGCUAAUGGAAUUCCGGGUGUAGCGGUGGAAUGCGUAGAGAUCCGGAAGAACACCGGUGGCGAAGGCGGUUAGCUGGGCAGUUGCUGACACUGAGGCGCGACAGCGUGGGGAG